CAGGUAGACGAACGGAUGAACCUCCUUGGCACUGGGACAACCGGCCGCAGCCUCCCCGCUAAGCCAACGUUCCGGCAUGAACUCCGACGGGCGGAACGAGGUCUUUUCCGGUACAACGACCAUUGCCCGAGGUCGGUGGAUACAUGCGCAUGCUCUCCUUGAUACAAGCCCUAAGGUACGGCAUAUUCUUCAUACUAUCCGGCGUGAGUGGACUGUCCUUGUUGGGCAUAAUCUUCCGCAGCUCGGCACGAAGUUUCUCCUGCUUGUCGGGGUUCUUGGCCAGACAGUACAGAAUUCCCGUCGAUCCUGAGGAGGUCUGUGGGAAAUGGGGUAAUAUCAACGGGACGGUUCAAUUGGUUGGAGCUGAACUACCGUACCGUAUCAACACCAGCGAACAAACUGUCCAUCGACAUGGUGAAAGCCGCAUUACGAUCCACCUUCAACAGUUUCUCCAGAAUGCUCAACGUGUCCUGAUCAGCGCUUGGAUUCUUUUCCAUCCUUAUUACAGCUUCAUCGAUUCGGGUAGCAAUUAAACUGGAGUUAAAACAACAGCAUUGGAGCAUUUGCAAACAUUCGCCCGGGAAUGUACUUACUGAUAAAGCUCGUCCAAUGCACGCAUCAGUCUGUAAAAGGCAGGUGUUUUCAGCUUCCGCCAUAUCGAUGGUAGUAUAUCAAGCUGAUAGAACAAGGUGACUGCCUCUUUCGUUAGCUGUGAAGUACGAGACAAGUAUCAACGAGCUGAUCCCAUUUACAUUUACACCCGAAAAGAUCUUACAUCGAUGAAAUGGGUAACUUCGGGUGUUUGGUCCUUGUCCAGCACACCAAGCCGCGAGUCCAGCACCAGCACACCCAUGGUUUCGAAUGCCCAACGGUUCAACCAUUCGUUAAAGUCAGCCGGCAACUCCUGAUUCUCAUCGCGCAGACCAUGGACACUAUUGAACGCGGAAUUAGAUUGUUAAAAGUCUCUCUUUUGGAGGUUUUCCAUCUCUUACAUUGCCAUAAACUCCCGGGCCACUGUA